UGGGGAAUAUUGGACAAUGGGCGAAAGCCUGAUCCAGCCAUGCCGCGUGUGUGAAGAAGGUCUUCGGAUUGUAAAGCACUUUAAGUUGGGAGGAAGGGCAGUAAGCGAAUACCUUGCUGUUUUGACGUUACCGACAGAAUAAGCACCGGCUAACUCUGUGCCAGCAGCCGCGGUAAUACAGAGGGUGCGAGCGUUAAUCGGAUUUACUGGGCGUAAAGCGUGCGUAGGCGGCUAAUUGAGUCGGAUGUGAAAUCCCCGAGCUUAACGUGGGAAUUGCAUUCGAUACUGGUCAGCUAGCGUGUGGGAGAGGAUGGUAGAAUUCCAGGUGUAGCGGUGAAAUGCGUAGAGAUCUGGAGGAAUACCGAUGGCGAAGGCAGCCAUCUGGCCUAACACAGACGCUGAGGUACGAAAGCAUGGGGAGCAAACAGG
rnacentral:rRNA from 1 species